AAAUAAUAAAAUUGUCUGCUUCGCAAGUUGCGGUGGUACGAAAAAGUUUAUGGUGCUCCUCAGCUUUGGGCGCUUUUGGCGAAUACUGUGGUGAGCUGGUUCGAGAGUUUCCCGGCCGGUCAAUAAACUCUACUGAACUGCACACUAAUUGGGCAAAAUGUUUAAAAAAGUGGCUAUUCACAAGGAGACGAUGCAGCAGCACUUUUGGGGCGAUAAACGGCUCAGGUGGCCGAAUUAUAGAAGAAGCUAAAUUACGGCAUGCAUGAACAUUGGUUUGGUAUUCCGUGUUAAAACUCAAUUGAUAGGAUAAGUGGAAUUAUGGAUGCACGUUUUAUGUUUUUUCAAUA